UAAAAUAUAAGCUGAAAAUUAAAGUGGAAUCACAUGGGUUAUAGCUGAUGAGUGGGCUUGCUGAUUCAAUUAGUGAGCUGGAGGUGGCAUUAGAAAGCCUUAGCAAGACAUUAAGUUAUCAAUCAAACAUGAGCUGUUUAAGUAUCUUGCUAUUUCCUCUGCUAUCAAUCAAGCAUUACCAAAGAAAGACUAAAAGAAGCUAACGUAAAGCUAUGUUCCCAAUCCUGUCUCUUUUCAAUUCUCUAUGAUCAAGCGCUUUUAAAAAAAAAACUUGUUAAACCCCUUCUCUAUUCUGUCUAUAGCAGCAGUCGGCCAACUAAUGUUGUAGUGUAUGAAGUUUCGAGCAUCAUUAGCAGGAAUGCUACAUAAAUUGAUCCUUUUACACGGAAAAAAUCACCUAAUUCAAGUGGGUUUAAGGUAAGUUUUUUUUUAUUCAUACCUAUUGUAAUAAAAAAAAAAGAUUAGUAACAAGUGUGAUAUAUUAUAAAUUGGGUUAUGAUUGAGUUGUUGGUUGGGCUACGAAUUGUAAGGAGAUCCUAUGAAGGUAGAAUAGAGUGAAAAGGUUGGAAAUUUUUGGUUAGAUUCAUAUUUAAACACAUGAAAUCUGACUUUUUAAAUCUUGUAUGCUAGAUGUUUGAUGAAAUGCCUAAACAAGGUUUCCAAGCUUAAAAACGAAUGAUUACCCAAGGCUUGGAACUAAAAGACAUUUGAAUAUGUAGUGUGAGGUUUACUAAGCUAAUCAGAGGAACUAAAUCAGUUUGAAAAGCGAUGGAAUGAAAUUAAAUCAAAUAAAUUUCCUUAAAAAGGGUAUGAACCCUGAGUUUUGAGCUUUUAGUUAGGUGUCUUAAUAAUGUUGUUAAAGACAAAACUUGGAUGACAAAUGUACCUUAUAACAUGGUCUCGAAGUAGGAACAAAUUUCAAGUCAUUUGAACUUGUAUAGCAAACGUUACGCUAAUCGUUAGGAGGCUUGAAGAAACAAAAUCCGAAAAAAAAUUGUGAACUGUUGACACUAAGGACAAAUUCGGGGCUUGCUAGAGUUUCAGAAACUUCUGGGCUUUUGGGGUAUUAUAGUACAUUGAAUAAGCUUUCCAUAGACUCCUGAAUGGACUAAUUCCGACUUCGGAGCAAAGAGUUAUGACCGUUCAAAGUAGUUGCGUCAAAACUGUCUAACAAACUCGGGGCAGUCACUUUGCACGAAUAUUCUGGAAUUCUGUGUGUUUGAAUUUGGAAAUGGUCAAAGAAUAAAAGUUGUAGCCCCGGAAGUUAGCUUCGCGUGGGCUCAAGAAUCGCUUAAAAAUAUUGAGAAAUGAAGGAGUUAUGACCAUUUUAGGGAAGGAGGGUCGUGCAGUCUAAAAACAGAACAUUCUGUCCACUUAGAGAAGAUUUCUGUUCUGUUCGGUUUGGAAUUUGGAUUUAUGAUCUGAAGAGAAGUUGUAGUCCCGGAAGUUAGCUUCGCGUGGGCUCAAUAAUCGCUCAAAAAUGUUUUGAAACGAAAAAGUUAUGGUAUUAGGGAUUGAUUUCGCAACAUUGCUGUAUUGAGGGAAAGGUGUCUUUUGUACAUGUAAUAUAAUGUAAACUAAACUGAUUAGAUGAAUCAAAGUGAGUUUAGAACAAAUUUAGGAGAAUUGGAUCAAGAUUGUGCUCAGUUGGAAACUGUUGUGACUGAGUACUUUUAUGCCCAUGUAAAAGCAGUUUAUAAUGCUCUUUUUGAUUGAGUAAUAUUUUUACAAAAUAGUUUGUAGUACCAUGUUUUGCAUAUUAAAAUUUGGUACCAAUCGGAUGCUUAGAUAUAGAGUUAUUAAAGCGCGAAACGGGCUAGUAGUGAUGAUUGGCUGCAGUAGCAGAGUGCAGCAAGUUGCAGCAGAAGCACGCAGCAAGCUGCAAUGUGCUGCGUUAUUUCUCGGCGUUCCAAGUUUAUUUUUGGCACGAGUCUUGAUGCGAGAAAAAUAGUAUGAAUUAAAAUUUAUAAAACUAAGAUAUUAUAAGUUAAUUAACUUAUAAUAUUAUUAAUAAAUUAAAUGAAAAUAAGUUAUUUAAGCUUGAAAAUACAAGUUUGAAUUGAGAUUUUUACGGUGCAUUUACAUUAAGAAAUAUAAUACGCUUUAUGCAGUGUAAUAUGAACAAAUUACCUAUAUUGAAUAUAUUGUUUGGGUUUAAAUCAAAGUUAAAAGAAUAUGUUUCAUUGAGUUAUGUAAUAACCAUAUGUAUGUUACGUAGGUACUUUAUGGAAUCAUAUCGCUUCGAGUUCAUGUAACCGUUUAGAAUCGAUAGAUGUGCAUCACGAAGGCAAGUCUUCCAGUUCCAAUUUGUAUAUGAAUUUGAAAUGAUUACAUGGAUUACAUGUUAUACUUGUGGAAUUAUGAAAGUCAACUAUUGACUAAAUUUGAUUGAGUUUUUAAAACUCAGUCUUGAUUUGAUAUUUGAUAUGCAUGAGAUACAAAUGUUACUUAAAUUGUAAUAAUCUUGAUAUGAUAUAAGCAUGAUAUUAUGUGCUAUGUGAAGCAUGAAAACUGUUAGACUUGUUGGGCCGUAGUGCUCAAUCUUGCAAACAAUUUUGCAGAUAAAUGUUGAUUUAUCAGACGGUCAUAACAACGAAGAUUUGUGAUGAGACAUGAGUAUUAAAGAUGUAUUACUUCAUCAAGUUUAGACUGUACCGAGCUGAGGCUACUUGCUGUAAAGUGAUUUAAUUGAGUAGUGUAUGUUGUUAUACCCAGUAAUUAUGCUGAAUAGAAAUAAUCUUUUUGAAUACGAGAUGUAGCUUUACUAUUAUUUUGUAAAGUAAGUUACUAUAAUAGCAUAGAAGUACAUGAAGUGGGGAAUAGCGAAUAUACAGUUAAUGAAUUAUGUCACGAAGAUUCAGGGAUGAGUAAAGUUAGAAGUUUGAACCUUACGUUCAAAUGAGACAUUUCGGAAUGGGUCUUUAUAUUUAUAUAAUCCUGAAUAUGGGUAUAGAUUAUAAUAGUUGCGAAUUCUGGAACUAAGAAAGUUUAAUAACUAAAUUUUGAUAUCUAUAUUGAUAUUGACUGUGAUAUACAGUAAGAAUAAAGUUGAAUCAUGAUAUAGAUUCACGAUAUGAUAAAGUUGCAAAAAUAUAAUUUUUUCCAUGUUUGAAAUGUGAUAUGAUCUCUAGCUGACCAGAUGAUAACGAUUGGAAGACGUGCAAAGGAUAUCUCUUCUUUAUUUAGAAAUUGUAGAGAAAUAUAGAUGAGGAUUCUCAUGAUUCUAGAUAUGACUAAAAGAACUAUGUACAGUUUGAAAUGUUUAUUGAAUAAGGAAUGUUUGUUUGAAGAGAGGUGAGUUGUAUAUAUUCAUAUGUUACUUUGAUAAAAUAAAUCAUAAAAUAAAUAUGAUUCUAGUAUAAAGAAGAAUUGUAAAGGUUGCGAUUCAGGUAAUGAAUGAAUGGAAAAAAAAUAUUCCAUAUUUUUAGCUAUUUUAACAUUAAAUAAUGUUUUAAAGCUAGAACAAGAUAAUAUUAACGCACAAGAUCGGGAAGGAAAAAUAGUCCCGAUUUUGGGGGCGUUACAGAUUCACCGAAAAACACAAAGAAAUCUCUCUAAUGUGUAUAAUAUAUUUAUCAAAAUUUAAGUACCUCUCAUUCAACCCACAAGCCGGGUUUAUAUAUAGCUAAUAAAACUUUAUCUCCAAGUCACGAUAGAAUAUUCCUAAAGAUAUGAAAAUAAAAAAAUAGAAAUAAAAUCCUCCUAGGGAUGUGAAAAAGAUUCUAGCAAACUUCCUAAAAAUACGGAAAUAAAAUCUUAACAAAUAACAACUUGCUAAAUAUAAAAUAUUAUUAAUUAAAGAACUAAUUAAUAUUAAUAAUAAUAAAAAUAAAAAUAAGGUACAUCGACUUCCAAAGUUAUGACGCCUCUUCGGAAGAGGUUCGCCACAUUCGAAGUCGUGUUGUCAUCCGAAGCCGAACCCUGACCGAAGUCGAACUCUGACCCCGAAGACACGGUCAUGACGCCAUCCGAAGCCGAACUCUGACUCCGAAGACACAAACCGAACGCUUGACCCCGAAGUCAACUGAUACCUUUGCGCCAAUCCCUUAACUUUUGGUCCUUUAGCAUCGUCAUCGUACUAUCCGACCAUUUAGGAUCUUUUCGGCCAGAAAUUCUCCUGCAUUAGUCUCUCCGUGUUAGAAAGAACUCGUCCUUGAGUUCGACACAGAUAGAAUGGAAACUAUUCGAGAAAAGGCUUCGGUAACUAAAAUAUUUUCCUUUUGAUUCUAUCUUGGGACAAGAUAUAUCUGUUGUUGAAUGCCCCUCAUCGCCGAUAGUCCUGAUGGAAGCUCUUCGGGCAAUUCCUGUACAUCGACUGACACUUCAGUGCUUUCAGCCGCUCCCACAAGGAAGUAGGACAUACACCAUAUCUUCACAAUCGGUCUCCGUUAGGAAUCUAGUCAUGGAUAAUAGGUUUGGACUCCCGACUGCUCGAGCCGAACUGUCCUCUUCUCGUCGAGGCGCUAGUACAACCUUAUUUCUUUUAAAACGAAGGGAAUACGUAUUCUUCCGACCAUCAUGAAUAACUCUUCGGUCAUAUUGCCAAGGUCAGCCCAACAACACAUGACAUGCGUCCAUUGCCACCACAUCACACAAAGUUUUAUCAAAAUAUUUAUUGCCAAUAGAAAAAGACGCAAAGCACUUUUUAUCCACUCUUACUUCAUUACCUUUUCUUAACCACGACAACUUGUAUGGUUUAGGAUGCCGAUCCGUUUUCAACUGCAAUUUCUUCACAACCUCUUCGGACAUUAUGUUCUCACAACUGCCACCAUUAAUGAUUAACUUGCAGACUUUAUUUGUUAUGGUGCAAGUUGUUUGAAAGAUAUUAAUACUCAACCAAUCCUCUUCGGAAUCACCUUUAUGAUUUGGUAGACUCUUGCGAACGAUCAAGGUCUCCCUGGCUAUCUUCAUAUGAUCCAUUCUUCUCUUAUUCGCCAUCAUCAUAAUCAUCAUACUCAGGUUCUCCAUAAGGUUCUCCUUCAUCUUCAUAUUCGUCAUAAAUUUCUUCAUCUUCAUAUUCAUCAUAAAUUUCUUCUUCAUCUGCAUAUUCGUCAUAAAUUUUUUCUUCAUCUACAUAUAAUUCGUCAUAUACAGGUUCUUCAUACUCAUCUACUUCUUUAUCAACCAACUGUUCUUCAUCAAAAUCGAAAUUAAAAUAAAAUUCCUCAUCACGAUCAAGGUGCGAGAAAUAUUUCGGGACUUCCUCGGUCGGAUAUUGUCCGCGAGAAUAAUACCCUUUCUCGUCAUGAUCAAGGUGUGGGACUUCCUCAGCCGGAAACUGUCCACGAUAGUGAUCAAGGUGUGGGACUUGCUCACACUCAGAUCCCAUUUUUAAGGUGAAUUGAAGGUAUCAUAGAAAUGAAUACUAGUAUUAUAGUUAUUGAAAGACCUAUUAAUCACAUGCCUUAACCGGUGAAGAAAUCUAUACAUGGCAUAUUCGGUUAUGUUGGAUUGGUCAACACGGAUUCCACGCCGAGAGCGAGGGCGGGGCGACCGUUAAAGAAUUACUUAUACACUAAACAACUGCUUAUAUACGCUUACUAAUAUUAUCAAAUUCCCACAAUUUAAGUAGAUCCGAGAUCUAGAAAAUAAUUAGUAUAAGCUUAUUUAGUUUGAGUAGUUUAUGAGAUAUAUAUUGUGUGUACUCAAUAGUUCGCUCAGGUGGACACUGAUUCUACAGUCAUAACAAAUGAAAAGAACAAUUUGUGACUUCGAAAAUUAAAAACUAGGCUGCAGACAAUUUCUAUGAGGAGUAUAUAACGAAGUAGAAAAUGAACACACCUGGGCACAAAAACGGAUAAGCUCUAUCGCGACAGAUGCACUGGAAUUUCCCUGAAUCCUCAUAAUCCGACCCGCACAACCCACUAGAAUUCACACAAGCUGAACAUGCUACUGCGUCAAUUAUAUAAUCCAAAACAAAACCCUGCUUGAAUAGUUCCACCAUUGUCAUUGACACAUUAUUCCUUAAUUCCUGAAAAACUGAUAGAAUAACAAUAAACUAGAAGGAAUAAAGUGUGACAUGUUAGAUCCACUUCAUCAUCAUUUUCUUUAAGAAAAUCAAGUGUGGGCAUGUAAACUUCAUGUUGAAAGAGAAACACCAAAAUUCAAUUUCAAUAAGAUGAGGAAAAAGAAAAGAUGAAACUGGGGAACUUAAAUUAUAUAUAUAUAUAUAUAUAUAUAUAUAUAUAUAUAUAUAUAUAUAUAUAAAAAACCUCUUUUGGCAACAAACAAUGAUCCUAAACUAGUAUAGAGAACUCACCAUGAAACUAGAGUUGUGUGACAACCCAAAAAUUUAGAAGAUCUUGAAUGAUUAAAUUAAGGGUUAAAGUUUAAAACCUAGAGUGGAAAUAGAGUAUUUAUUUAAAAAUUUUAAGAAAAAUCUAAGGAAAUGGUACGUUGAAAUGAUUCAACGAUAAGGUUACGAGAAAGAAUAAGAUCUAAACCGAUUAAGAAUGAUUCGGUAUUGUGAUUCCGGAGACGGAAUCUUUAUAAGGGGGAAAGAUUGUGAUAACCCAAAUUUUUGGGUAAUAUUUAACAAAGAAUUAAACAAAGAAAAUACUUAUUAAAUAAUAUGUUGUGUGAUAUUAUAUUGCAUAGGUGAGUAAGAACUACGCAAUAAGUGAUGUUUAUGUUUAAUAAAUAUAUUAGUAUUAUAUAUUUAUUAUAUGUAAGCAAAAUGGUAGGAGAAAUUUAUUAAAUAAAAUGAGAUGUGUAGAAUUAAAAUAAUCUAUAAUAUUAAAUUAUUUUAAUGUGGUGAAUUGGUGGCAUUAAAUAAAUACUUAAUGUAUAACCACCCUUUUAUUGAAUAAAUCAUGUAUUAUAUUAUUGGAUGUAAUGUAUGUAUGUUUUUAAUGUAGUACGUAUAUUAUUAUAUUUAUUACAGUUAAAUUGUUGAAAACAAUUUAUAGAAGGGAAAAACAAGUAAUUAGUAUACAAGAAUUAUUGUAUACUUUAAAUAAAUGAUAUUAAAAUAAAUUCUAGAGUUGAAUUAUUUUAAUAAAGAAAAAAGAUAUUAUAUUUAUCUUAAUAUCUUAAGAAAGUAAAUAAAUUCUUAAUUGAAUUAUGAUAAUGAAGUAAGGAUAUUAUAUUAUAAUAUCUUGGGUAUGUAAAUAAUUAUAUUUACAUAAGAACUUAUGUGUAGCAUAUUUAGUUUACAAUUAUAAAAUAAAUAUGUAAUUUGAAUAUGUUAUGUUAUAUUUUAUAUAAUUUAUAUAUCAAAGAUAGGUUAUGUAAAUUAUAUGAUUCCAAGAGGAUAAAAUAAAUUAAGGAAAAUUAUGUAGUAACUUAUUUAAUUAAAUUAAGUUACUAAGAUUGAGUAAUUAAAUAAAGUAUGGAAGUGAAUUAUGAAAGUUAAGGGUGAAUUGUGCGAGUUAAGAAAACCUUAGGGUUAAAAAUCUAAUAUUUGAAACUUAAGAAAAUAUAUUAAAGAAUAUGAUAAGGAAUAAAGAAUAUUCCGAGAAUAUGCUAAUAAUAUGCCAGGGGGUGAUUUACAAGUUUUUAAAGACGAGGGGAAUACUAGAGAAGACUUAAGUUAGGCGACCAACUUAGAAAAAAAAAUUAAAAGUUUCUUUUAUAGAAACAAAAUCAAAAUUUAUCUAUAUUCAUUUUUUUAGCCAAAAUGACUAAGUUUAAAGAGAGAUAGAAUAAGAAAGAAUAGAGUAUAAAGCAAAUAAGCUAAAUGGAAUUGUCUUUUCCCUGUUAAGACAUCACCACUCCUUGUUGCACUCUCCUUUCCAAUUCAGUACCCUCAUUCUCUCUUUUCUCCUCAUGGUUCCUUCCUUGUUCAGCAAUAUUACUGAACCCCUUAUCUCUUAUUAUAACUUCAUGUAGUUCGGGUAUUAAAGCAAAGGAAGGAUUAAUAAAGGGAUACAAUUGAGCAACAAGGUAACCCAAUUUUCAUGUUCUAUAACUUGUAAUUAUGAAAUUAGCUAACAGUAAAGUAAAAUUGGUAACUUGAUUUGGGUUAAUUAGUUUUGAAUUAUAUAAUUAAUUCCUAGUGACUGUAAUUCGUAUGUGAUAACUUGGAUAAGUAAUAGUUGUUGUUAUAUGAAUUAGAAAAAAAAGAAAAAGGGUUUAGUAGUUGUUGUGCAGAGAAUUAAGGUUGGAGGAUUUCCAUGGUGAAAUCCUAGCCAAACUAUAAACAAAUGGCUAUGAAAAUCUGAAAAUUAAGAGAUGCACACUAACUGUUUAAUAAAAUGCCCAAAUAAGGUUUCCAAGCUUAAAAACGAAUAAUUACUUGAAGCUUGGAACUAGAAGACAUUUGAAUAGGUGGUAUGAGGUUUCCUAAGUCCAUUAGUGGAACCAAAACAAGUUUGAAAAGCAAUGGAAUGAAAUUAAAUCAAAUGAAAUUUCCUUAAAAAGGGUACGAACACUGAGUUUUGAGCUUUUAAUUAGGUGUCUUAAUAAUGUUGUUAGAGACCAAACUUGGAUGAAAAAUGUACCUUAUAACAAGGUCUCGAAUUAGGAACAAAUUUUAAGUCAUUUGAACUUGUAUAGCAAAAGUUACGCUAACCGUUAGGAGGCAUGAAGAAACAAAAUCCGAAAAGUUAGUUGACUGCUGACCCUAAAAGAAAAAUUCGGGGAUAUCUAGAUUGUUCAGAAAAUUCUGUUCUUUUGGUAUGUUAUAGUACACUGAAUAAGCUUUCCGUAAACUCCGAAACGGACUAAUUUCGACUUCGGAGCAAAGAGUUAUGACCGUUCAAAAUAGUCGCGUCAAAACUGUCUAACCAACUCGGGGUAGUCACCUUGCACGAGUUUUCUGGAAUUCUGUGUUUUAAAUUUGGAAAUGGUCAAAGAAUAAAAGUUGUAGCCUCGGAAGUUAGCUUCGCGCGGGCUCAAGAAUCGCUCAAAAAUGUUUUGAAACGAAAAAGUUAUGACUGUUUUAGCGAGAGAGGGUAGUGCUGAAACGGAAGUGAAAACUGUUACGAACGUCCAUUUCGGAUGCGUUAUUUGAACCAUCCAUCGAACCCAAAAUAGUUGGCUAUAUUUUUCUAAAAAUAGUCUCAUAUACCAAGUAUGUCAUAUUCGAAAAUCAACACAAUAUAAUGUGUGAGCUAGAAGUAAUAAGGUAGCGAAAUAAGCAUGUUGGAACAGGGCUGCUGCCCACGGCAGCAGCAGUGGCUGUGUUUGGCGAUGGCUGGGGGCUUUUUUGGGCUCUCAGUCAACCCAUUUAAAUUACUUGGAUUGUUCAACUAACAUUCUUCCAUAAUAGGUGACUGUAUCACCUAUAGAAUAUUCAAAAAUUAAGCGUAAUCGGAUUAAUAAAUUGUAAGCUAUCAUCUAUUUAUAGAAUUUAUGAAAAAUUGAAGAACAUAAUGUUGGGAAUUGUUGUUAUUGCUAAAUUACACAAGAAUGGACUAAGGAGAAGAAUUAGCUUGAUUAAUAUUGGUAAUUAAGGCUAUGGGUAAUUGUUAUAAGUGCGAGAAUUUCUGUAUUGCAUAAUGGUUGCAUUAAAAUCAAGAAACUAAGAAAUGACAAGGUUAACUUUGAAGUUCGUAAACUAACUUAUGUAAAUAUGUAUACAUGUAUGGUUUAUAUUGUGAAUUGGUCCUUAUGGACUAAAUUAGAGCUUUGGCGUAUAGUUUUUGUUGUGCGGAGCAAUAAGGUUGGCAAAAAUGGUUUGAUUAUGUAACCCAAACUUAUAGAAAUCAGUCCACAAAAAGGAUGCACGCGCGAUGUUCGUUGAAAUGCUCAAAAGGGCCAUUUUGGCUAAAAUUACAUAAUUUAAUGAAGCCGAUACUUUAGACGAGUCUUAUUAUAUUAAAUAAGACUUAUCUGUAAAGCAAGUUGGGUUGGAACGCGUCGAUGCGAGUUUUGACCUCUAAACGCGAAAAUUGAAAAUUUGUGACCAUAAAGAGUAAGAAUGAUUAAAAACUUGGAAUUUUACGAAGCCGAGACUUUGGACUCGUCUUAAUAUGUUAAACAAGACUUAGUUGUGAAGCAAAACGAGUCGGAGCGAACCACGACGAGUUUUGGCUUGUGAACGUAAAGUCUAAAAAAUAGCCUCUACAGCCUUUUUCGGCACACUGUUUGGUCAGUUUAGAAAACUUAAAUUGCUGAGGUUAUAUUUUUAAAAAAAAACUUUGAUAUGCCAUGUAUAACAUAUCCAAAAAUAGGAUCAGUCCGAUAAACGAGCAAGGCGUGUGAAACUCGCAAAAAGGGGCAGCAGCAGCAUGAGCAGCAGUAGCAGGCCAGCGCGCGAACGCCGUGCGGCUGGGCAACUGUCUGACAUGCUUUUUGCUCGCUGUUUUGAUUGGCUUUCGUGGUUCCUUUUCGCGGUUAGAAAUUUUUAAAAAAAUACUAUGACAUAAGAGCUCCAACAUACCAAGAAUUUGUUGCGAUUCGAGUUAUGGUUUGAGAAUUAAAAAUAGGUAAAAAGGCAUGUCAGAACUAACAUUUGAGCAACGUCGAGUGUCGACACGCCGGGCUGUUUUGACAUUCGUCGUUCCGAAUCGCGUUCGGGCGAGAUUUUAAGCAAUGUUAAGUCUAAUAAAGUCCCAAUAUGAGAGUUUUGAUGUUUUUGAUAAAUUUAUGCCACGAAAAUUUAUUCCGAGCAUAAAUAAUGCAAUAAAAAUAUUAUAAAAAUAUGAAAUUUCAUUUUUAAGCAAACGGAAGCCGGUGAUGGUAUGAAAAAUGGUUUUAUAACGAAACAAAAAGUAUGGAACCAUUAAAAAGUUGUAAUAAUCAUAAAAGUGAUGCAAUGAAGAUUUGCAGGGAACAAAAUGGAGUUUUUGAGCCAAGAUUUAUAUAUACUUAAUAUAUGAAUAUAUAUAGUGAAAAUGUGAAUAUUUGCAAAACGAAAAAUGCAGUAAGUGGGUUAGCGGGAUAUAAUGUUUAUAAAUGAGACAAUGGUUCGAGUUGACUCAGGUGUGGGCAAAAUAAUAAUAUAAAAAUUAUUUAUAUUAAAGGAAAAAUAUAGGAAAUUGAAUUUUACUAUAAAAGCUAUUUAUUAGCUGUUUAAGUUCCGAAUUAAUGGGUAAAGGCAUAAGAUAUUCCUAAAGUAGAAUAUAAAUGAUUGAAGCUUCAAAAUGUAAAAUAUUUACAUACUAAAAUGUGAGGGACCUUUAUUUGGUAUAAAAAGGUUGAAACGAAUUAAGUUUCUAAAUAAACUAAUAUUCGUUUUGAGUAAGAAUAAAUAAUAUUAGUUUGUAUAAAACUAAUAAUUAUUAUUGAUGAAUAUACAUGCAUGUUUUGUAACAUAUUCAAUUAUCUAAUAUGUGUGUACAUGUAAAUAUAAUUCUGUAGGAAUUGUGGAGAAACUCUAGGCUAACUUUUGUGGUAAUCUCCAAUUAAGGCAAGUUUUUCAGUUCUAUUAUGUUUGUGGAUUGAAUGUGACUAUGUGGUGAGUUAUAUACCAUGCUUUAUGAAUUGUUACAGUCAAAAUAUGACUAAGUUAAUUGGGUUAUGGAACUCAAUUUAUAUGUGAUAACACAUGUUGUAUAAUGUAACUCGAUAAAUUAGAAAUGUAUAAUGCAUGAAUGUAUAUUUUGUAAGAAAUUAUUGAUGUAUGCGAAUAUGCGUAGUAAAGGAAAUAUAGUGCAUAUGGAAUUGUGUUCUAUGUGAAACAUGAUAGACUGUUAAAUUUGCUGAGCUAUCGAGCUCAAUCUUGCAAACACAAACUUUUUGCAGGUUAAUGAUGUUGAGCGAUAUUACUUGCUAUACGGAUGAUGAAGAUUGAACGAUGUGCAAAAAUGAAUACAUUUCUUUGAAUUAGAAAUGGUAUAAAGCUAUGAUUGAUAGUUUUGCUAAAUGUAAUUGACAGUUAUGUAUAGUUUGAAAUGUUGAAUAAAUAAAGAAUGUUUAUUCUGAAAUGAAAAUAGAUAUGAUUCUGAAAUAAAUGAAUCAUCGAUAGAAAGCUAUGAAGUAUUGAGACUUAAUCUUUUAAUACGUUUACUCAG
rnacentral:lncRNA from 1 species